AGGACGAACGCUGGCGGCGUGCUUAACACAUGCAAGUCGAGCGAGGCCCCUUCCUUCGGGGAGGGUGUCCUAGCGGCGAACGGGUGAGUAACACGUGGGCAACCUGCCCUCAGCAUGGGGAUAACCCCGGGAAACCGGAGCUAAUACCCGAUACGACCUUUCCGGGCAUCCGGAAUGGUGGAAAGCGUUAGUGGCUGAGGAUGGGCCCGCGGCCUAUCAGCUUGUUGGUGGGGUAACGGCCUACCAAGGCGACGACGGGUA
rnacentral:rRNA from 1 species